rnacentral:lncRNA from 1 species
UAUAGGUAUAUUGAGUCCAUUUAUAGUUUAAGUAUUUUCUUCUUGUAUAAAAAAUUUAAAGACUAUUCUUAUUUGAGUAAGAACAAAUUUUAAUUUUUGCACAUAUGCGCAUAAAGUUAUAUAUCUUUUGUACAUUAAAGUAUUAUUAUGUACAAAAGUGGGACUUUGAGUUGAACUUAUAAUAAGUUCAUAUGGUUGUAACUCAUAAUGUUAUUUGGUUAAGAAAUACGUGCUUUUGAUACAUGAAAGAGAGUGUUCAUCUUUUGAAACAUAACCGCUAUGAUCAAAGUAUUAUGAUUUGUUGGUCGAGUGGGAGAUUUUGGUUGUAUAAUUUAGUUGGUAUAUAAUAAAGUUUUGUAUCGCCUACACACUAUGAAUAUAUCAUUAAGUCAAGUGGGAGAAUAUUGGACGUGGCCCACGUGAUUUAUUCAAGGUGGUCUAUAAAGAUACAGUCAGUCUAUUCAAGUCAAUUUAUAAAUAUACAGUAGACCUAGCGAUUAGGAUGUAUCUGAACAUAUUCUUGAUGGACAUGCAUGAUUUAACAUCCUUACAUCAAGUUAUAUAUAAAUAUGUAAUAUACGGAAGUACCGGUCUAACCCUAAUACUAAUUCCUGUGACGGUUCUAUCUCUGAGGAUAAGAGAAUUAUACUCGUAACGUACCAAUCUUUUGUAGAUCGUCAAGAAGGACGAACCAAGAGCAAGAAUUGCCGUCUACAAUCUAGAUAUAGAAAUCGAAAUCAUGGCAAAAUGUACGAUCUUAAAUUCUUAUAAAGUUUAGCAGUCACUUUACUUGCAACUCC